UCACCUGCUCUUCAGUGCAAAACCAGCCAGAACUGGCUCUUCUUUCACCAUUGACCUAAAUGUCCUGCCCAGGAGUGCUGUUGCUGAUAGGUCUCAAUCACUCUUGAUGCUGGAUCAUCUAUGUCAUUCCAGUUCUCUUUCCUGAACAACAACUGGCUGUGAUAGAUAGCAUGUGGAAUAAUGCAUGUGCCCUGGUGAGGAUCUAAUAUAGGUGUUGGGGUUCACCUUCACAGUGUGGAAAAGACUCCAACAAUUUGAGAGCUCCAGGACUGGACCUCAGUUACUGCACCACAACCAAUGUGUCCAGCCUGUCCCAGGAGAGCAGGACUGUGGGCCAAAGCAAUAACCUACUGGCUCUGAACCCCCAGCUCAAGACUGGGAGCCACGUUCCACGGGAACUGGAGAGCUCUGUUCCAGCAGUGACCAGAGCAGUGGGGCAGCCCCCCACUGCCAUCUCCUGCCCCUUGUGCAAGCUGUCACCAGAGCUGUGUGCUCAAGCUUACAACAUCCCACUGGGAUCUCCAGAGCCUACUUCAUCCACUGCACAGAAAGCACAGGCAAAGGCAGGACUGGACAACCAAUGGAAAUCUGGGCUGAGGAGGCUGGAGAGCAACUAUUUCUUACAUAUCACACCAGAAAUGCCUUUGUCAACAUUCAUCAGCCCUGCUGGCAGCUCUGGGAGGAGGGGAAAGAGGUGGCACUUUGCAUACUGCUAUCCCCCAAAUUUCCUGCUGUGUGAUUUGGACGCUCCAGCAAGAUUUUGCUGCAUUACAAGUUGCAAUCACCAAGGAGUCCACCUGUCCUGAAGACCAACACUGUUGCCUUCUGCCUAGUUAAUCCAGGACUCUUCAUUUUCCCAUUUGGCAUCUUACACCGGCAAGAAAAAGCUGAAACCCCUCAAAAUCCAAAGGGUUGAGAAGUGACUGUGAGGCAGACUACUCUGUUUUCAUUUCCCAAGGAAUUCUGCAUUUAGAAGACCAAAAAGAGAACUCAAAGUUCAGUUUUAAAUGUAGUAACCGAAUCGCUUCGUGUGCAUCUCAGUAAAAAUAAGAGGAAAGCUGCAUACAAAUCCAGGCACAGCCCAGACCUCUGCUCAGCUGACUAUUUUUUAUCUUUCAAUUUGUGGGGUUUUUUUCCCCCCAGCUGUAGGGAUACAUCUGAAUAGAACUGAUCAGCGUUAAGCUCUGAGGUUCUCAUCUCUGCUUGAUACACAAUUGCAAGAAAUGAGAUACAGCACAAUAA